GGCAGAUUUCACGUAUGUCUGUGUCUUUUCAAGUGUUCCCUGUGCUUCCUCAGGAUGCUUGGCUGCUGGGGCGGCCAGGCUGCAGCAGCCAGUGGAAAAAGGACUUCACUGCUGCCUGUAAACCGUGAAUCAGGGGCCGCCCUUGCUAGUGGCUUCCUCGAGAGAAGAUUGGAGCUUGGAUGGAGUAACUGGUUCAAGGUCCCACAGCCAGUCAGUGAAGAGCUGUGUCUACACUGUGAGCCCCCUGGUCAAGCCAGAGGCGGUGCCGCCAGCCUGCACUCUGCCCCUGCUGUCCAUGCACGGGAUGGGUUAGAUAGACUGUUCUGUUCUAUUCUCCCCCGCCUCCCCCCAGCCCCCAGCUCUAAGCAACCACUAAUAUUCCUGUUUCUGUUGAUUUUCCUAUUUGGACAACGUGUAUAAAUGGA